rnacentral:rRNA from 1 species
AUGGUUGAAACUGCACGAUUUAUAGACUUAGCCUUCUCUUUGCCUUCUGUAGCUCAAGGUGGUAAAAUUAAGUGUCCAUGCGCCAAAUGUCGGAAUUAUUUUCCGCAAGAAUGGCACAUUGUAGAGGAACACUUGUAUAAGCAUGGGUAUAAGCCAAAUUACAAAACCUGGACAGAACAUGGUGAGAGUUUUGUAGCUACUGCUGAUGGAUCUGUACCUUUAGUACAUCAAGAGGGCUGUAAUGAACUGAUCGAAUGGACAAAAGCAGAUGAACCUUGUAUUUUAAUUGAUGUGUUGGAUGCAACU